UAGGGCAGCUUUUACUAUUGGCUCCCCCAGGGAAGCCCUCUCCCAGAGCUGUUUUAACCCCUUCAGGACAGGAGCGGGGUGACUAUCCCGCUACAGGCUACCAUCAAAAAAUAAGAUACGGUGUCCUGAGCUUCCCUCACUAAGUCUGUGUUAUUCAUUGGACUAGUUUCACAUGGAGGCUCAGAAAGUGUGAAACUCCAUCACUAAAUUUUACCAGAGGAACUUCAUCUAUUCUACUGGUCAAAAACUGGACUUUUACGACAGAUUAUUUUAUUGUGAUAAAGUAAAGUUUAUUGUGUUCUAUUGAUUUUUUUAAGAAGACAGGAGGAAGAAAGGGAGGAGCUGCUCUACAACACUGGAGAAAUGGAGAUUGAACUGCAAUUGAAGGAUGGAGAGGCAAAGCUCUAAGACUAACAACAAUGAGAAAGCCUAGUGAAACAUGCAACAAAAUGAGAAUACACCCUACAAGUGUGGAACCAUCUUCCAGCACAGAUCUCCGGUAUAUACCACUGAUGGGAACCGAGCUGACAAGAUCUUGCAGCAGUAAUUUGGGCACAAGAGGUGAUUAAUUUAGUGGGGUAUAAUCAGCAUCCUAUUAUUUAAUCAAAUUUGGCAGACUUUUCCCUCUAUGUCAGCUUCUUCUAGCAAAGUGGAAAGGCUGCUUGGCUAACUCUAUGAGAACUUGAGGGGUCAUUUUGACUGGAAAUAAAAUUUUGGUUGAUUGUU